rnacentral:rRNA from 1 species
UCAGGACGAACGCUGGCGGCGUGCCUAAUACAUGCAAGUCGAACGCUUUGAUUUUCACCGGAGCUUGCUCCACCGAAAAUCAAAGAGUGGCGGACGGGUGAGUAACACGUGGGCAACCUGCCCAACAGAGGGGGAUAACACUUGGAAACAGGUGCUAAUACCGCAUAAUUUGUUUUCCCGCAUGGGAGAAUAAUAAAAGACGCUUCGGUGUCACUGUUGGAUGGGCCCGCGCUGCAUUAGUUAGUUGGUGGGGUAAUGGCCUACCAAGACCGUGAUGCAUAGCCGACCUGAGAGGGUGAUCGGCCACACUGGGACUGAGACACGGCCCAGACUCCUACGGGAGGCAGCAGUAGGGAAUCUUCGGCAAUGGACGAAAGUCUGACCGAGCAACGCCGCGUGAGUGAAGAAGGUUUUCGGAUCGUAAAACUCUGUUGUUAGAGAAGAACAAGUGGGAGAGUAACUGUUCCCACCUUGACGGUAUCUAACCAGAAAGCCACGGCUAACUACGUGCCAGCAGCCGCGGUAAUACGUAGGUGGCAAGCGUUGUCCGGAUUUAUUGGGCGUAAAGCGAGCGCAGGCGGUUUCUUAAGUCUGAUGUGAAAGCCCUCGGCUCAACCGAGGAAGGUCAUUGGAAACUGGGGAACUUGAGUGCAGAAGAGGAGAGUGGAAUUCCAUGUGUAGCGGUGAAAUGCGUAGAUAUAUGGAGGAACACCAGUGGCGAAGGCGACUCUCUGGUCUGUAACUGACGCUGAGGCUCGAAAGCGUGGGGGAGCAACAGGAUUA